rnacentral:rRNA from 1 species
CUACGUAGGGGACGAGCGUUGUCCGGAAUUACUGGGCGUAAAGGGCGCGCAGGCGGUAUAUCAAGUCAGCUGUCAAAGACUGGGGCUCAACCCUGGUAUGCGGUUGAAACUGAUAUGCUGGAGUGCUGUAGAGGCAAGUGGAAUUCCCAGUGUAGCGGUGAAAUGCGUAGAUAUUGGGAAGAACACCGGUGGCGAAGGCGACUUGCUGGGCAGCAACUGACGCUGAGGCUCGAAAGCGUGGGGAGCAAACAGGAUUAGAUACCCUGGUAGUCCACGCUGUAAACGAUCAUUACUAGGUGUGGGGGGACUGACCCCUUCCGUGCCGCAGUUAACACAAUAAGUAAUCCACCUGGGGAGUACGGCCGCAAGGUUGAAACUCAAAUGAAUUGACGGGG